UGCCAUGCCCGCUGCCCAGAGCCAUGGGCACAGCUCGAGGUGCAGCUGCUGGGCUGCACAGCCCCAGUGUGGAUGUCCCGGGAGGGCGCUGGCACCAGUCUCCCCGCUGCAGGAAGAGAAUCUAGGUCACAGAUCCUCUCUGAGAACAAGUACAUCUGAUGCUGCCAAGGGAAACAAACUGGCAGGAGAAAGGGGAAUAGACUGGCUUGAAAGCAACAGGAGAAUGGAGAGAAGUAACUCAGUGAUUGAAACAAGGAUACUCUGGGAAAGCUUUGUAGGUGACUGCUAAUUGUCCAAAAAUGGAGUGGCUGGCUGGUGAUUGCAACUGCAGGAAGAAAAGGUGUCUGUGGUUGGGUGUAAAUACUCUCAGUACUAUCACAACAGUGAUAUGUGGGGGAAUCCUUGUCUUCUUCAGGAUCUUAAGCAAUUUUGGAACCCUUGUUACCAAAAGGAAAUAAUCCCAAGAAAGACACUUGUUUCUCUAAUAUGAUCCUGUUUAAUCUCGUCAAGGACAGUAGCACAACAUUCAACUCUCAAAGCCAAAGCCAAGCAAUAAAUUGAACUUUAACCUUUGGCUUUGAAGAACAGGCAUGUGUGGAAAGAAAAAGCUGAUGAAACAUUUCUUGAAGACACUGAUACCAUGCCUGUGGUGGUCCAUGCACUUUCACCUGAGAACUCCUGUUGGAAACCAGCAGCUCUAGUAAAGGAAUGUCUCUCCUUAGUGCUUACAUCAGCUUGUUAUGGUGACAGGUUAGAAAAAGUCUGCUGCAAAAUCCAAGACUUAUAUAAAAGAACUCCAGUUAAAAAAAAGCAUUAGCUAUUCAGCUAAAGGCAGAAAAAAAUACUACAGAAGAAAAAAAAAUCAGUAUUGUUAUUUUAAAGGAAAUACAGAUGAUGAUAUUAGUUUUCCCAGUCUAUGCAUAUAAAGCAAAAAAACCCCAAAGUAAUUUAUUUUGUAUAAAAAAAAAAAAAAAAGUAUGACUGGGAAAGGUCUUUGGAUAAAUCUGUAGGAAUAACAGCAACAUCCAAAGAUGAAAAAAGGGGUUUGUCUUUGUAUAGGAGACAAAAUACUUCACAGACCACAGUGAAGGGAAGGUCAUCUAUCAAAAAACGUCAGCCAAUUUGAACAUUUUACAAGUUGCAACAAGCAGGGACAGGAAGAUACACAGUGAAACGAAAUACCAUAAAACAGCUUCAUCAGCUAAACUUCAAAUGAAACUGAAAAUCAACAACUGGAAGAAAAACAUGUGGAGGGCUCAGAAGAUGUGUGUUCUCACUGCAAAGAAAAUAAAGUCCCCUGACUUCAUAGUGUAACAUGGAAACUUCUCAAAACCAAGCUAUUUGACCAAUAAACAACCCAUAUGGGAUACCUUGGUGGCACCAAAUUCCAACUGGUAAGCUUUUUUUCAUACUAUGUAUCUGUGUAUCUAUGACCCUAAUUAAAGUAAAACUAAUCUAGUCUAAUGGCUGCAUUAUAUGACUAGUAUCUGGGAAGAAGUCUUCUGCUGUUUCCCUAUAGUGUGUGCUAGAAACCUUAAAGCCUAGAAAUGAACUGAGGAAUGGAUCUAGAAAAAUGGAGCUCUGCUUUAUGGCCAUGUGAGAAGCAUAGAUAAAGGGAAAGUGUAAGUGCAGGAAUACAACAUGAGAAUCUAAAGUCCAAACACAUCGGAGGCAGAAGGUAAAUAGCAUGAUUUUGUCUUUAACAACUUAUAUUUCAUUUCAAAGUAACAGGCUUCACUCUGUUUGGUCUAUUUUGAUGCUGACCAGCACCACAGAGGGAAGAAUUGUUUUAUGCCAGGUAUUGAUCUAAUCACCUCUUCCCAUUAUCCUGGUCUGUCAUCAGUAGUGAAACUGCAGCAGUGACAGCUUAUGUCACCUGGGAGGAAGGGACAAAGAAAAUGACAGAGAUCAUGGAAUGACGGUCUCCUGACAUCCUGAAGAUGAUUCCCUAAUCUCCUCAGCAAAGAACUGUAAUAGUUUUAACAAAAACUGUGAAGAAACUACCUAGAAUGUAGCUCAGCCUGAAAAACACCAGACAGAGAAAUUCUGUCUGAAGAAACUGCCUCCUAAGGCCCACGUUAUAGACAAAGUGGACAUUCACCAGUCUGUCCUGGUUUGUAGAUGGGUUUGUCUGUCUGCACAAAGACGAUGCUGUCUGCGUUCCAGAUCAUCACUGAGCGCCGCUCCUCCAGGCGGAUGGUGGUGCCCUUGGCAGAGAAGGAAAUGAAAGCCAGUGGUGCAGAGUGGACAGGAGGAAUCUGUGAAGAAACAGGAAAACAUCAGGAGGUUGUUAGUCUUGAAGUAAUUUGCUCCAGAACCUGUUGAACAGCAAUAUCUGUGGCCUGGGCUCCUGCGUGACACAAUCUCACUUCUACCAACUCCAUCACCUUUCUUGGGCUUUAUCUUAUUACUUAUGCAUACAAAAAAAUACCUCCUGGUUUGUUACUAUGUUACUCUCCUAUGCUUCCUUUUUCCUUUAACAAGUCUUCCUUCUUUCCCUGUCUGUUCCUUUCCUGUGCUCCCUUCUUUAAUUUUCUUGUCCCUGUUUACAUUUCUUUUCCACGGGGACAUAAAUUAAAAUUAACUUACCUUGAACUUGAAGCAUUGUAGACCACUGCUUUCUGUCACGGUUUUAUUAAAAAUAGUGGUAUUAACAGAGCUGUAUUCCAGGAUUGCUCUGACGGACACUGUCUCGUUGAGGUUAAGGAACUGCAGGCAAACCUGACCUGGAGAGUCAUUUUGGAGGACAGCAGGCACUAUCAGGACAUACUGCCUGUGAAAUCCAAACAUCAAAGUGAUCACAUUCAUAGAAGCUUGUGAAGAUUGCUGUAUGGGGAAGUCAGAGAGAAGAAACCUCAUCACCAGGUUUUACAGAGGCCUGCUGGGUCACCUACCUGUUUCAUAGUAAUCAUAUAUAUGUACAGGCACUGGUUUGAUGUCUGAGACAGCCAGGCUUUGCUCCACACCAAAGGAGAAGCUGAUUUCCUUCUGAGAGACCUGGAAAUGGCAAGACAAGAAGAUGCAUCAGAACUUUUCAUAGCUAUCCCUGAGGCUAAGGUUGAGCAGAUUAAUUUCUGAAUCAGACUGUGUGACAAUGUGCCAUUCUGCAUUUCCCUCCAGUUUCUAAACUUGAUGUUAAAAUUGUUAAUUUUAGAUAAUUGUUUAAAGGCUGUUGCUAAAUGUUUUGUUGCUAAAAUUGUGUGCUCUUUUCUUUCUUCCUCUUCCUAUUUCCAUUACCAAUUACCCCAACUUAAAUCCCUGUCAGUGUGGUUUUCAGCACAUCAGCAUUCAUUCUGCAACCAAAAAUUGCUGUUAGUUUCUUUCUUUGCCUUUUCCCAGAUAAAAGCACCUUCAGUACCCUAAUAAUCUUCUCCUUACUUUUCUCCCUUUAAUUACUUUGAUGGCAAUAUCUCCAUUAUCCCCUGUGAUGUUGGAUUGAAUAAAGAACCUCUUUAAGGCA